CUUUGGGAUGUGCAUUACUAAAUAUUAUGAUAUGAAAAUGAGAAAGGUGUUGUCUUUCUCCUGGGAACAUGGUCCUAAAUACAUAGAUUGUACCAUAGCAGUAACUGAAUGUAAUAUAUAUAGUCUCCAAGAAUAUGCGAUUGGACGGCAUGUAAUUGCAAUGGCUGCUGAAGGACUUAUUUUCAUCCUGUUGAUUCUUCUUCAGGAGACCAACUUAUGGAGAGUGAAAAUGUUUGUGUUUCGCUAUAUUUUCUUUGGAAUCUACAAGAAAUUUAAUAAGGAUAAAUUAUCCCUGAAAUUACGUGGAGUAUCUGAAAAUGAAGAUGUACAAAAUGAAAGAGAGAGAGUCCUGGAGCAACCUCGGGAGUUGCUGAAUUCCCCAGUGCUUAUUAAUGAACUCACAAAGGUAACAUUAUUUAAUGGCUAACAUAUGCCAGCUUCAUUCCU
rnacentral:lncRNA from 1 species